rnacentral:rRNA from 1 species
GACGAACGCUGGCGGCGUGCUUAACACAUGCAAGUCGAACGAAGUGGCGAACGGGUGAGUAACGCGUAAUCAACCUGCCCUUCAGAGGGGGACAACAGUUGGAAACGACUGCUAAUCCCGCAUAAUGAAGGAGGGGAUUGCGUCUGAUGAGCUAGUUGUAGGGGUAACGGCCCACCAAGGCGAUGAUCAGUAGCCGGUCUGAGAGGAGGAACGGCCACAUUGGGACUGAGACACGGCCCAGACUCCUACGGGAGGCAGCAGUGGGGAAUCUUCCGCAAUGGACGAAAGUCUGACGGAGCAACGCCGCGUGAGUGAUGACGGCCUUCGGGUUGUAAAGCUCUGUUAAUCGGGACGCGGUACCGGAAUAGAAAGCCACGGCUAACUACGUGCCAGCAGCCGCGGUAAUUC